rnacentral:rRNA from 1 species
UACGUAGGGGGCAAGCGUUGUCCGGAUUUAUUGGGCGUAAAGAGCGUGUAGGCGGCCACGCAGGUCCGUUGUGAAAACUGGAGGCUCAACCUCCAGCUGUCGACGGAAACCGUAUGGCUAGAGUCCGGAAGAGGAGAGUGGAAUUCCUGGUGUAGCGGUGAAAUGCGCAGAUAUCAGGAGGAACACCCGUGGCGAAAGCGGCUCUCUGGGACGGUACUGACGCUGAGACGCGAAAGCGUGGGGAGCAAACAGG